AGUGAACGCUGGCGGUAGGCCUAACACAUGCAAGUCGAACGGCAGCACAGUAAGAGCUUGCUCUUACGGGUGGCGAGUGGCGGACGGGUGAGGAAUACAUCGGAAUCUACUUUUUCGUGGGGGAUAACGUAGGGAAACUUACGCUAAUACCGCAUACGACCUACGGGUGAAAGCAGGGGAUCUACGGACCUUGCGCGAUUGAAUGAGCCGAUGUCGGAUUAGCUAGUUGGCGGGGUAAAGGCCCACCAAGGCGACGAUCCGUAGCUGGUCUGAGAGGAUGAUCAGCCACACUGGAACUGAGACACGGUCCAGACUCCUACGGGAGGCAGCAGUGGGGAAUAUUGGACAAUGGGCGCAAGCCUGAUCCAGCCAUACCGCGUGGGUGAAGAAGGCCUUCGGGUUGUAAAGCCCUUUUGUUGGGAAAGAAAAGCAGCAGGUUAAUACCCCGCUGUUCUGUCGGUACCCAAAGAAUAAGCACCGGCUAACUUCGUG
rnacentral:rRNA from 1 species